rnacentral:tRNA from 1 species
CGCGGGGUGGAGCAGCUCGGUAGCUCGUCGGGCUCAUAACCCGAAGGUCGUCGGUUCAAAUCCGGCCCCCGC